AUAUCAAUUUGAUUUGUGAUUUACUGCAGGAUGAUCUAUCUUUAAUGUGUUGUAUUGUGUGUACAUGCAGGAAGACCAGUCUUCAGUUAGUGAGGGAGUUUCCAGUGCAGAGUUUGAUCAGUUUCUGAAAGAUCGGGCGAAGGCAUCGGACCAAAGCGGACAGGCGAUUCGAAGCGCGCCGUCUGGCCGUGGAGGGUGCUCCACGGCCAGACCGCCGCUGCCGCAAUCUACCCGGCAACAGGAAAGAUCAGACCAUCUUUUCUCACUUUGAGUUAGAGGACAAACGAGGCGGCAGGCGGCUGUAAAUAUCCACAUACUCACGGCAUUAUAAUGUUAUAUGACAAUCAAUUACAAGCACAUACUGCAUUACGUCAGGUUCCAUCGUCAGACACACCCACACACAUAAACCCGACAGUGCGGAUCUGCUGCCUACUAUCAACUCAUUGAUUAAUGCAAUAUUUCUUAGUUAAUUCCUGCUUUGUUAUAUUUAUGUACCAUAGUUUGCACACAUUUCUCAUUCAAUUGAAUAGAAAGUGUGUCCAAAUUCUCACUGGUAGUAUAACUUCCUGUCGCCGUAUUUAUGAAAUAUAUUAUUAUAAUGUUGAUGUAAACAAAAGCUUAAAUUGAAACAAUUGUUUAGAGAAUAAAUAUGAUGUUGAAAUAUGUUUGAUUUCACGCAGUCAUGUGCCUUUGACCGAGGCAGCUGAUUUUGUGUAGAUGAGAAUAAAUCGGGUUCUUGUUCUGCAAACAUGUUGCUUCUGUCCUCUUUUUUUACAAUUAUGUUUGCUGUGUCAUUAUCUAAUCUUCCAUGAUUGGAAUUUACCCUGAAGCUCGUUUUAUAACUGAUAUAAGUGCAACCUUUGCGUGACAGAGCUGUUAAUUUUAAGUGUGUCAGAGGUCACUGCUCCACCAGAUAAUUUUUUUUUUUUUUUGCUCAUACAAAAUCUUCUUGAUGACGUCUCAGUUGCUUGAGAUCAUCACACCGAGGAAAUCUGUUUUGAACUUUAGUAGAUCUGGUAAUCUAAACCUGAAUCCAGCUUCUGGCACAUGUUUGCUUUGAAUCUAGCCAUAACACCAGAGCCUUGAAAAAGAAUGUGAACUUGCUGUGGCCAUGCUCAAUAAUAUGUCUGCUGUUUGUGC
ensembl:lncRNA